AUUUAGAAUGGCAAGUAAGAAUCACACCAAACCAAAUCUAUGGCUAAUUUGCUGUAAAAUACCGAAAAUAGGCAAAUAUUAAUAAGAAUAUUUUCCGGAUUUUUUGGAAAUUUUUCGGGAAUUUUUCGGAGCUCGUAUGGACGAGUUAACGGCGACAGAAAUGGGGCCCGGAAAAGCAUGUUUAGGCAACCCUAUUUUAAAGAGGAAAAGUUUUUAUUUCUCCUUUUCUUUUCCUCUUAUUCACGUGCCCUAACCCAUGCGACACCAAUCCCUUUUCGCUCGCGACAGUUCCUCCUUCCUCUUCCUCUCCGAUCGAACGCCGGCCAAGCUUCUGCUUCCCCCGUCUCUUCCUCUCUUCCGGCCGAGCAGCACCGACUUUCCCUUUCCCUCGCGCCACCGCCGCGUGGAAGUGCCGCCGGCCGUUGCCCUAAGCCCUAGAUCUGUCUCCUCUUUCCCAAUUGGCGCUGCUUCACGUUUCCGCUCCCACGCAAAUAAACCUCGGCCAAGGAAGCCCUACCGCCGGCAACGAUCUCCGAUGUGUCUCACCACCCGCCGAGUCCUUUUCCUUCUCCCUCACUGUGGUCGUGCCACUCCCGCCAGCCAUCCGCGCGGGAUUUGUCGGCGACGCAGUGACGCCGACAGAGGAUGAUUCUUCCUCAACUGUCUCAGCCUCACCGCGCCGCCUGAGGACCUCACCGGAGUCUUGAAGGUGCUGACCAAUCGCUUCCUCGUCCCCAUCCACCUCCGGCGAUGAGGUCAGUGCGGGCACCAUUCUCAUCGGGUGCCAAUCUUCCUAUUGUGCCCUAGCGCCGCUAUCGACGCCAACUGCCACCACCCCAGUGCCUGCCGACGCUGCCACUUAUUCACGAGCCACAGACUCCGCGUAGACCGCCGCCUGCUUCGGUCGAUCACCGCCGGAAAUCGAGUAUCUGAACCCUAGAUUGGGUCCUUGUGCGCCGGCCGAAGUUUCCCUUCUUGUGUCUCUGCUUGACAGUGCCGAAGACAACACAAAGUUGUGCCCUAGCCGGAUCUUGGAGGAUAUAGGAAUUCCAGAAGAGGAUAAGACUUGCUGUGGGGUUUUUCUUGGAUCCGACAGUCACUGCUUCCAGCAAACUCUUUGAUUUCCAACAGCAAGAACGGCUGUGGAAUUUGAGGCAGUGAGGAGGGUUUUCCAGCAGCACUAUGUCCGAUGACAACCCUUGAUUUCCAGCAGCGGCUGAAUUAGGACUUUGACGCGAGAUGAGUAUCUCGACGUCGUAUUCGGACCAGAUUGGACUUUUCGAUU